GGAUAACUUACCCUUAGGACUGGGAUAACUCUGGGAAACUGGGGAUAAUACCGGAUAUUAGGCUAUGCCUGGAAUGGUUUGCCUUUGAAAUGUUUUUUUCGCCUAAGGAUAGAUCUGCGGCUGAUUAGGUCGUUGGUGGGGUAAUGGCCCACCAAGCCGAUGAUCGGUACGGGUUGUGAGAGCAAGAGCCCGGAGAUGGAACCUGAGACAAGGUUCCAGACCCUACGGGGUGCAGCAGGCGCGAAACCUCCGCAAUGUACGAAAGUGCGACGGGGGGAUCCCAAGUGUCAUGCUUUUUUGUAUGACUUUUCAUUAGUGUAAAAAGCUUUUAGAAUAAGAGCUGGGCAAGACCGGUGCCAGCCGCCGCGGUAACACCGGCAGCUCGAGUGGUAGCUGUUUUUAUUGGGCCUAAAGCGUUCGUAGCCGGUUUGAUAAGUCUUUGGUGAAAGCUUGUAGCUUAACUAUAAGAAUUGCUGGAGAUACUAUUAGACUUGAAGUCGGGAGAGGUUAGAGGUACUACCGGGGUAGGGGUGAAAUCCUAUAAUCCUGGGAGGACCACCUGUGGCGAAGGCGUCUAACUGGAACGAUCUUGACGGUGAGUAACGAAAGCCAGGGGCGCGAACCGGAUUAGAUACCCGGGUAGUCCUGGCCGUAAACGAUGUGGACUUGGUGUUGGAAUGGCUUUGAGUUGUUCCGGUGCCGAAAGGAAGCUGUUAAGUCCACCGCCU
rnacentral:rRNA from 1 species